CCUACGGGAGGCAGCAGUCGAGAAUCAUUCACAAUGGGGGAAACCCUGAUGGUGCGACGCCGCGUGGGGGAAUGAAGGUCUUCGGAUUGUAAACCCCUGUCAUGUGGGAGCAAAUUAAAAAGAUAGUACCACAAGAGGAAGAGACGGCUAACUCUGUGCCAGCAGCCGCGGUAAUACAGAGGGCUCAAGCGUUGUUCGGAAUCACUGGGCGGAAAGCGUGCGUAGGCUGUUUCGUAAGUCGUGUGUGAAAGGCGCGGGCUCAACCCGCGGACGGCACAUGAUACUGCGAGACUAGAGUAAUGGAGGGGGAACCGGAAUUCUCGGUGUAGCAGUGAAAUGCGUAGAUAUCGAGAGGAACACUCGUGGCGAAGGCGGGUUCCUGGACAUUAACUGACGCUGAGGCACGAAGGCCAGGGGAGCGAAAGGGAUUAGAUACCCCAGUAGUC
rnacentral:rRNA from 1 species